rnacentral:rRNA from 1 species
GACGAACGCUGGCGGCGUGCUUAACACAUGCAAGUCGAACGGAAAGGCCCCUUUUUUGUUACUCGAGUGGCUAACGGGUGAGUAACACGUGAGUAACCUGCCCUUCACUUCGUUUUAACUUCAGUAAACUGGGUCUAAUUCCUGAUAGGUAUCCUUUCUUCAUGGUUGGGGUUGGUAAGCUUCGGGGGUUUUGUAUGGACUCGCGCCUUAUCUUCUUGUUGGUGGGGUAGUGGGUUACCAAGGCUUUGACGGGUAGCCGGCCUGAGAGGGCGACCGGCCAAAAUGGGAAUGAGAUAAGGCCCAGAAUCCUAAGGGGGGGAAAAGGGGGGAAUAAUGCAAAAAGGGAGGAAGGCUGAUGCAGCAAAGGCGGGGGGGGGAUGAAGGGCUUCGGGUUGUAAAACGAUUUCAGAAGGGGAGAAGCUUGUAGUGACGGUAACUGGAGAAGAAGCACCGGCUAACUACGUG